rnacentral:misc_RNA from 1 species
AACCAUAGAAACCUGCGGAGUACCUGCGGAGGGAUCAUUACCAAUUCAACGGUGUGGUCGCGGCCUCCGGGGGUUCCCCCCGGGCGGUAGAGGUAACACUCUCACGCGCCACAUGUCUGAAUCCUUUUCUUACGAGCACCUUUCGUUCUCCUUCGGUGGGGCAACCUGCCGCUGGAACUUAUCAAAACCUUUUUUGCAUCUAGCAUUACCUGUUCAGAUACAAACAAUCGUUACAACUUU